GAAAAGCAGCAUCAUUGAAGGUGAAAAUCCUGUAGAUGAUAUGGACUACCAGUAUAUUUGUGAUACGGUUUCUAAGAGUCGAGUUGUUUGGGAAUGCAGCUCAAAGUGGGUGGUAAAUUCCAUCUAAGGCUAAAUAUAAGUGAGAGACCGAUAGCAAACAAGUACCGUGAGGGAAAGAUGAAAAGAACUUUGAAAAUAGAGUUAACAGUACGUGAAAUUGCUGAAAGGGAAACGUUUGAAGUUAGUUUUGUAUUCGUUGGAUCAGCUUCGCAAGGAGUGUAUUCUGAUGAUAAGCAAGUCAACAUCAGUCUAUGAGUGUUGGAUAAGGGUUUUGAGAAUGUAGCAAUUUAAUUGUGUUAUAGCUUGAGACUUGGAUACAAUGCUUUGGAUUGAGGAACGCGUAGUAAGCUUUGAGCGGAUUCGAAAGGAUCUCCUUACUAUGGAUGUUGGUGAAAUAACUUUAAGCGACCCGUCUUGAAACACGGACCAAGGAGUCUAACAUGCUUGCGAGUAUUAGGGUGUUGAAACCCGAAUGCGUAAUGAAAGUGAAUCUAAGAUGUGAUCCGCAAGGUGCAACAUCGGCCAGUCUGGAUCAUUUAUGUGAAGGUACUGAGCAAGAGCAAGUAUGUUAGGACCCGAAAGAUGGUGAACUAUGCCUGGAUAGGGUGAAGUCAGAGGAAACUCUGAUGGAAGCUCGUAGCGGUUCUGACGUGCAAAUCGAUCGUAGAAUCUGGGUA
rnacentral:rRNA from 1 species